AUGAACGCUGGCGGCGUGCCUAAUACAUGCAAGUCGAGCGAACAGACGAGGAGCUUGCUCCUCUGACGUUAGCGGCGGACGGGUGAGUAACACGUGGAUAACCUACCUAUAAGACUGGGAUAACUUCGGGAAACCGGAGCUAAUACCGGAUAAUAUAUUGAACCGCAUGGUUCCAUAGUGAAAGACGGUUUUGCUGUCACUUAUAGAUGGAUCCGCGCCGCAUUAGCUAGUUGGUAAGGUAACGGCUUACCAAGGCAACGAUGCGUAGCCGACCUGAGAGGGUGAUCGGCCACACUGGAACUGAGACACGGUCCAGACUCCUACGGGAGGCAGCAGUAGGGAAUCUUCCGCAAUGGGCGAAAGCCUGACGGAGCAACGCCGCUUGAGUGAUGAAGGUCUUCGGAUCGUAAAACUCUGUUAUUAGGGAAGAACAAAUGUGUAAGUAACUAUGCACGUCUUGACGGUACCUAAUCAGAAAGCCACGGCUAACUACGUG
rnacentral:rRNA from 1 species